GAUAAAAUUCAAGUCCUGAAGUGUUUUAGCUUCAGGUACGUAUGUACAUAUGGUAUUAAGCAUUUGAGUAAAAGAUCCAUUUUAAUUUCUAUUCUGAACACGUGGCAAAUCAUUUUGACAGAUCCGUGUUUUAGCUGCAGGUUGCCAGUGUAUUUUUGGAGGACAGGGUGGAGAGGAAGAGCUUUCCCAACACUGAAGUGCUGGUGGUGAUGGCUGGAGUGGGGAAAGCCAUGUGCGUACAGAGGGAGAAUCCUCGUUUCCUGCUUUUUGGUCAUUUCGUUGAUUGAUGGGUUGCUGUAUAUUCUCCCCCGCCCCAUGCCAUGUGGACAACCAAUGAAGUGAAAUCAUAUAUUAGGGAAAAGAAUAGUUUAGAACAUUAACUGCUUUAAUCCUCUUACAAUUCUGUGUUGUGAUGAACCCCGUUGUAUAGAUGAAGAAAUAAAUGACGUUCUCAGUUUUGAGCCUUUUGAAGAUAGUGACUUUUAGGAGCAGAAGGUGAAUGGCAACCAAACAAGAAAAUCAAAGCCGUAAUGAGCCUCGGCCUUCAUACUGAGAGCCCUGCCAUACUGAGGCAAUCUGCUGUGGAAGAUUCCUUUUCAUCAGGAAGGCAUAUGGGCCUGAGAAUCUUGAAUCUGUAUUUUGGGCCCUGUCAGUUAACUAAUUUUAGAAAUGUCACUUUACAUAAAUGAGUUUCCCCCUGUGUAAAA